UAUCUUACCAACUGGUUCCAAAGCAGCGGCU
rnacentral:sRNA from 1 species